rnacentral:misc_RNA from 1 species
UCAUGGUUCUGUGGUACAACGUUUCAUGGCUCCACGGCCAUACAGAAUACCAACGUUUCUCCAACGCUCUCUUUUCCCUAAGCUAGCCCAUUAUCCGAACUACAUGUAUCCUGCGCGGCAGGUUUACGUAAUAGUGACACGCUUGAGUGCAUGCCAAAAGGGCACGGGCUCCACAUGUCCAGGAUAUGGGGGAAGGACACCAACGAGACUUGCACUGCGCUGAAGUCUCGAUCGGUAUGAAUGUACCUUUUCCCCGUUGAUUUUGCUCGAUUUGGACCGGUGAAGUGCCCUGUUGUAGGUUAAAAACGGUCGUUGCUUAAGACCAGCUUCGGAACCUGUACAGGACUUGCAAGUAGAGCGUGGGCAGGCCAGAACGUCUAAACGUCAUGAAGCUGUGAGUGUAACCGCCACUCCAUUGUAGAUUCUAAUAUUUAUCUAACCAUUGUUGACAACAACUG